ACUCUGCUCGGCCUCUCCAGAGCUCAAGUCACACAAAUCUGAAUCUUUGCUGGUGCUUUAUUAUUCACAUCAUGUGUAAUAACUGAAGAGAUUUCCAUGUAUAUUCAUUUAAUUUGAGCUUUAAUAGUCAAUAUAUUUAUACUGACAAUGGAUAAAAUGACUGUAUGUGAUCACUGCAGAUUCUCUCUGCUCUGCAGAGCGUUUUAGUGUCUUUCAGCACAUUUUUUGUGGUCUUACAGCUUGCAGCCUUCCUGUUUUGGCUCCAGACCCAAAUUGUUUCUGUGAGCAGCUCAGUAUGUACAUGAAUUGUUGAGCGGCGACCUCUACUGGCCGUAGUAAUUAUGACGGGAGCAAAGGAGAAAGUUCUUUUGUUUAGGUAUGAAGACGAGUUUUCUGGUUAAGGCUCAACGAACAAACUGCAGGCUGAAUGAGCAGCUAGCUGGUGAACAAACUGGAAUAUUUAAAAGCUAACAAGACAAAUAUUACCUGCAGGACUCGAGAGCUAAAGGUCGAAAAGAGAAUGAAAUAUGAAUGUAGAUUCAUCAGAUGAUUUUUUUAAAAAAAAAGAAGAAUGCUAAUGUUGUUCCGGAUCUACUGGAUGUUUAUCUACUGUUGGCAAAAAGAGUUGUUUCACAGCCAAGUGGUCUCAAAAUAAUAUAAUCUGAUCGAUACUAGAAGCAAAGUGAGUGAACAUAUGAAGCAUCAAUACCAGAAGAAGAACCAACGGACCAGAAAGGACAGAGGUCCAGCAGCGCACCACCCACACUGUAGUUAAAAUCACCACCACAAUCAGAGCCUGGAAACCAAAAUGCAGAAACAACUGAGAAGAAUACUUCCAGAGUAACAGCUGCACAUGUCUAACAAUAUGCUUUGCUGCUGACUGUUGUUGGUACCCAGGACACCUUCUGACACCUUCAGGAGGAGUCAUCAGGCCUCAGGCUGAGAUCAGACGUGAGCCGUUUCUCAAGGUGCUGCUGUGAAUGUCUAGAAAGAGAACGGGCUAAAAGCCUUGGAGGAGCGUUUCUUCAUCCUUGUUGCUAUGCAACCAAAGAGUUUUCAGUAUUUUUAGAUAAUGGAUUUGGCAUUUCUGUGUUUACUAGAAGUCUUUACUAGAGAGCUCAAAGUGAAGGAAUACAAACAGAUUGAGAGGAAGAAGAUAAUUAGUCUGAUUUAUAUCCUCUGUCUCACAUCAACAACCAAACUGAGCUGCAGCAUCGCUGCUGUCUGAAACACUGGAAGUCCUCACUGUGUCAGACCUCAGCGGUGGACAGAUGUAUCCACGUCAUCUGCUCAUCAGCUCGAGUGCGCCUCAAACCAAUUCUGGAGGAUUUCAGUCCUCCUUAAUUCUCCUUGGAUCAUUUCCAACUGGACUUAUUGCUCAGCUGAAGACACAUUAACUGAUGAAAUGUACAUUUCAUGUGCAGCAAAGGUUAAGAUCACAUCCAUUAAAGCUACAUGACCAGAAGGGACGUUCUGCAUCUGGUGUAGUGACUUGGAGAAAAGGCGAUAUGAGCCGUGUGCUGCGGCUCUGCUGAUGAAGACUGAUAACUGUGUGUCAUCUACUGCAUUUAUUACACCUGAAGAGCAGCGAACAAGACGAUUAGUAUUCUGCAGACGGCUGUCCAUAACAGCACUGUGUCAGGUGAACCUGCGCUAAUUUACUGAGAGAUUUGAAGACGCGUGUGAUCAGACAGUUUGUUCAGUCUGGAGAACACUGAGACCAACAUCCAGGUUUACCAGGUAAACAACAUCCCAGAUUACCAUCAGCUAAUGAAGGCUGAAGCCGCGCUGCAAAGGUGACAGAGACGGGAACACUCACCUGCAGACCAAUCAGAGGAGACAAUCUGACAGCCGACAGGUAACGAGAGAAAAGGAGACUAAACUUCCUGAGGAGGACCGAACCACUGAGCUGAAUCAUUAUCCAGCAUAGAACAUUGUGUUUAGAGACAUGCAUGUUCACGGACACUCCGUCAGUCAGUCGUGUGUUUUUACAAACAUUUUUAACAUUUGACAUGUCUACAUUGCGAAGCAUCUGUAUUUGCAAGAUCACCUGAUCGUGCAGUCAGAUCCAUUCUGACAGGAUUCAGUCUAAGUUCUUGUGACCAAGCACACAGUGGCUGAACCAAUCAGGUUCCUCUGAGGAACUACCUGCAGCUGCUGCGUGGUUCAGAUGUGACUAUCAGCUACAGAAGCAGCUGGACACCUCAGGAAGUUAGCAUAGCUGCUGCUAGCAUCAGUUAUAUCAGAAGUGCAGGUUGUAUUUGAGCAAAGAGCGACACUAAAUGUUAUUUCUCGAUGGAGAGAUGUUUAUGUUCUUCUCUUGACUACAGCAAGAAUUAGAGUACAAGUUGCUCUGCUGGUUGUAGCGUCCUCAGAACUGAAAGGCAGCACCGAUACUGAACAGAACUUCUCUCCAUACAUGUGAUACUGAGACCACUCAGGAUAAAUGCUACAUUUCCAGAUCGAGCAUACUUGACACAGCUUGUCACUGAGAGCUCCAUUACAGCCUCUGUGAGAUGUGACGCAGCCAUGUUCCUGUGACACAUCCCACUCAGGGGAACUGUCGCUGCGCAGCUCAGCGAACACUACCAGCAUCUUGUGAAAGUGUGUGACGAGCGGCACCGAGGCUAAACGGCAAGUUGGAGAGGAAGACCGUUUAGAGUAGUCAUCUCCGGCGAUGGCAGGUUGACCCCUUACCGCCACACAUCUGCGAUUACAACUCACCAUCCUCAGAGUGGGCUUGUAGCCGGCACCGCUGCACCGGCACUGAAGCAGAACGAGGGGACAGAGAAUGCAUGACUUGCCAUCCAUUCAGCAGGACUGAGCCGCCUCGCUUCGCCUUGCACUCAUCUCUCCUGCUUGGCUACCCAGGCCUGACCCAAAUGUGACAUCCCAGAAUGAGACAUGGCUUUAGCUGCACUGCACCCGGGGAAGUGGCAGCUCUAGCUCCAACAAACUCCCUCUAUUUAUUUCUCUUCCCCUUCCAUUUUUUCCCCUUCUUGCUUCUUUAAAUAAGCUGAUAUCUUCUCAGCUUUUCUUGCUCCAGCGAUCUUUUGAUUUUCGUCUGUGCUUUCACUUCGUCUGACGCUGCCACAUCUCUCACCUGCUCCAUCAGAUAGCUGGGAACUUAAGCUGAUGGUGGCAUUAUAAUAUUACCUUGAAAUGUCUCAAACGUUCAACUUAUCCUAAUGCCAUAGCUUUUAUCUCCCCUUACUUAGUGUGCUAAUAUGCCAGCACCGGGUGGAGAGAGCUUUCUAAAUGGGUUGCAUGGCUUCCCUCUCCGUAUCCAGGAGCUGCUUGUUCAGUUUAUUGAUCUACUUCUUCCCCUUUGUACAGUAGGAACACACUUCAUCACUGGGACUUAAUGACGCUGUGAGCAGCCGUUCACAUUGUGAUGGAGUCAGGCAGGGAUACUUGAAUUCAAUAGUUUGUAUUGUCUAAGUAAACCUUUAACAAAAGUGGCACCAAAGGGAAAAAUCACCUUUCAUUUAUGAAGAAUUUCUUUCACUUGUA